GACGAACGCUGGCGGCGUGCCUAAUACAUGCAAGUAGAACGCACAGUUUAUACCUUAGCUUGCUACACCAUAGACUGUGAGUUGCGAACGGGUGAGUAACGCGUAGGUAACCUGCCUGGUAGCGGUGGAUAACUAUUGGAAACGAUAGCUAAUACCGCAUAAUAUUGAUUAUUGCAUGAUAAUUAAUUGAAAGGUGCAAUUGCACCACUACCAGAUGGACCUGCGUUGUAUUAGCUAGUAGGUGAGGUAACGGCUCACCUAGGCGACGAUACAUAGCCGACCUGAGAGGGUGAUCGGCCACACUGGGACUGAGACACGGCCCAGACUCCUACGGGAGGCAGCAGUAGGGAAUCUUCGGCAAUGGACGAAAGUCUGACCGAGCAACGCCGCGUGAGUGCGGAAGGAUAUCGGAUCGUGAAGCUCUGUUGUAAGAGAAGAACGGGUGUGAGAGUGGAAAGUUCACACUGUGACGGUAUCUUAACAGAAAGGGACGGCUAACUACGUG
rnacentral:rRNA from 1 species